UUUACUUUAAAUAUCAUGAUAAAAAGUAUCAUAUUUCAAUAUUCGUCAAAGUCGACUAGAAAUCAUUUCACUUGAAAUCUUUCAUUUCAUUGUGCCCUUGACCCACCUACUAUGCACUGGAUAGAGCUCUGCAUAAUAUCAAUAUCAAUAAUCAAAUGGCCAGUAUGAAAUCGACACCGACAAGUGGACCAUCCUCUCGUGACCACUAGAGGCCCAUCCCCUGACUACCCCUAUGAUCACCCAAGAAGUCUCCCACCCGGCAGC
rnacentral:lncRNA from 1 species